rnacentral:rRNA from 1 species
UUCCGGUUGAUCCUGCCGGACCUGACUGCUAUCGGAUUGGUACUAAGCCAUGCGAGUCGUUGUAGCAAUACAAGGCGGACGGCUCAGUAACACGUAGUCAACCUAACCUAUGGACGUGGAUAACCUCGGGAAACUGAGAAUAAACCGCGAUAGAUCAUUAUGCCUGGAAUGGCUUAUGGUUCAAACAAUUUAUUGCCGUAGGAUGGGACUGCGGCCUAUCAGCUUGUUGGUGAGGUAAUGGCCCACCAAGGCUAUAACAGGUACGGGCUCUGAGAGGAGAAGCCCGGAGAUGGGUACUGAGACACGGACCCAGGCCCUAUGGGGCGCAGCAGGCGAGAAACCUUAGCAAUGUGCGAAAGCACGACUAGGUUAAUCCGAGUGAUUUCUGUUGAAGAAAUCUUUUGUCAGUCGUAAAACCACAGACGAAUAAGGGGUGGGCAAGUCUGGUGUCAGCCGCCGCGGUAAUACCAGCACCUCGAGUGGUCAGGAGGUUUAUUGGGCCUAAAGCAUCCGUAGCCGGCUACGCAAGUCUCCGGUUAAAUCCAGCUGCUCAACAGAUGGGCUGCCGGAGAUACUACAUAGCUAGGGAGCGGGAGAGGUAGACGGUAUUCUGUGGGUAGGGGUAAAAUCCUCUGAUCCAUCGAGGACCACCAGUGGCGAAGGCGGUCUGCCAGAACACGUUCGACGGUGAGGGAUGAAAGCUGGGGGAGCAAACCGGAUUAGAUACCCGGGUAGUCCCAGCUGUAAACGAUGCAAACUCGGUGAUGCAUUGGCUUAUGGCCAAUGCAGUGCCGCAGGGAAGCCGUUAAGUUUGCCGCCUGGGAAGUACGGACGCAAGUCUGAAACUUAAAGGAAUUGGCGGGGGAGCA